UUAAAUUGAAGAGUUUGAUCAUGGCUCAGAUUGAACGCUGGCGGCAGGCUUAACACAUGCAAGUCGAACGGUAACAUGAGUGCUUGCACUUGAUGACGAGUGGCGGACGGGUGAGUAAGGUAUGGGGAUCUGCCGAAUGGCGAGGGACAACAGUUGGAAACGACUGCUAAUACCUCAUAAAGUUGAGAAACCAAAGCAUGGGACCUUCGGGCCAUGUGCCAUUUGAUGAACCCAUAUGGGAUUAGCUAGUUGGUGGGGUAAAGGCUCACCAAGGCGACGAUCUCUAGCUGGUCUGAGAGGAUGACCAGCCACACUGGAACUGAGACACGGUCCAGACUCCUACGGGAGGCAGCAGUGGGGAAUAUUGCACAAUGGGGGAAACCCUGAUGCAGCCAUGCCGCGUGUAUGAAGAAGGCCUUCGGGUUGUAAAGUACUUUCGGUAAUGAGGAAGGUGUUGUAUCUAAUAGAUGCAACAAUUGACGUUAAUUACAGAAGAAGCACCGGCUAACUCCGUGCCAGCAGCCGCGGUAAUACGGAGGGUGCGAGCGUUAAUCGGAAUGACUGGGCGUAAAGGGCAUGUAGGCGGAUGAUUAAGUUAGGUGUGAAAGCCCUGGGCUUAACCUAGGAAUUGCACUUAAAACUGGUUAUCUGGAGUAUUGUAGAGGAAGGUAGAAUUCCACGUGUAGCGGUGAAAUGCGUAGAGAUGUGGAGGAAUACCGGUGGCGAAGGCGGCCUUCUGGACAGAUACUGACGCUGAGAUGCGAAAGCGUGGGGAGC
rnacentral:rRNA from 1 species